UACGGAGGGGGCUAGCGUUGUUCGGAAUUACUGGGCGUAAAGGGUGCGUAGGCGGCUGUUCAAGUCAGACGUGAAAGGCCUGGGCUCAACCUGGGAACUGCGUUUGAGACUGGACGGCUGGAGUCCGGGAGAGGUGAGCGGAAUUCCCAGUGUAGAGGUGAAAUUCGUAGAUAUUGGGAAGAACACCGGUGGCGAAGGCGGCUCACUGGACCGGUACUGACGCUGAGGCACGAAAGCGUGGGGAGCAAACAGG
rnacentral:rRNA from 1 species